GACGUAGGGCGCGAGCGUUGUCCGGAUUUAUUGGGCGUAAAGAGCUCGUAGGCGGCUUGUCGCGUCGGCUGUGAAAUCCCGUGGCUCAACUGCGGGUCUGCAGCCGAUACGGGCAGGCUAGAGUUCGGUAGGGGAGACUGGAAUUCCUGGUGUAGCGGUGAAAUGCGCAGAUAUCAGGAGGAACACCGGUGGCGAAGGCGGCGACCUGGGGACAAUACUGACGCUGAGGUGCGAAAGCGUGGGGGAGCAAACAGG
rnacentral:rRNA from 1 species